rnacentral:rRNA from 1 species
UACGUAGGGGGCAAGCGUUGUCCGGAAUCAUUGGGCGUAAAGCGCGCGUAGGCGGCUAGAUCAGUCUGCUGUGAAAGUCAAAGGCUCAACCUUUGAAUGCCGGUGGAUACUGUCUAGCUAGAGUCCGGAAGAGGCGAGUGGAAUUCCUGGUGUAGCGGUGGAAUGCGCAGAUAUCAGGAGGAACACCAACGGCGAAGGCAGCUCGCUGGGACGGUACUGACGCUAAGGCGCGAAAGCGUGGAGAGCGAACAAGG